rnacentral:rRNA from 1 species
UACGAAGGGGGCUAGCGUUGUUCGGAAUUACUGGGCGUAAAGCGUAUGUAGGCGGAUCGUUAAGUCGGGGGUGAAAUCCCGAGGCUCAACCUCGGAACUGCCUUCGAUACUGGCGAUCUUCGAGUCCGGGAGAGGUGAGUGGAACUCCGAGUGUAGAGGUGAAAUUCGUAGAUAUUCGGAAGAACACCGAUGGCGAAGGCAGUUCUCUGGGACGGUACUGACGCUGAGACGCGAAAGCGUGGGGAGCGAACAGG